rnacentral:rRNA from 1 species
GUGCUAAUACCGCAUAACCAUGAACACCGCAUGAUGUUCGUGUAAAAGACGGCUUUUGCUGUCACUUUUGGAUGGGCCUGCGGCGUAUUAACUUGUUGGUGGGGUAACGGCCUACCAAGGUGAUGAUACGUAGCCGAACUGAGAGGUUGAUCGGCCACAUUGGGACUGAGACACGGCCCAAACUCCUACGGGAGGCAGCAGUAGGGAAUCUUCCACAAUGGACGAAAGUCUGAUGGAGCAACGCCGCGUGAAUGAAGAAGGCCUCCGGGUCGUAAAAUUCUGUUGUCAGAGAAGAAUGUGCGUGAGAGUAACUGUUCACGUAUUGACAGUAUCUGACCAGAAAGCCACGGCUAACUACGUGCCAGCAGCCGCGGUAAUACGUAGGUGGCAAGCGUUGUCCGGAUUUAUUGGGCGUAAAGGGAACGCAGGCGGUCUUUUAAGUCUGAUGUGAAAGCCUUCGGCUUAACCGAAGUAGUGCAUUGGAAACUGGAAGACUUGAGUGCAGAAGAGGAGAGUGGAACUCCAUGUGUAGCGGUGAAAUGCGUAGAUAUAUGGAAGAACACCAGUGGCGAAAGCGGCUCUCUGGUCUGUAACUGACGCCGAGGUUCGAAAGCGUGGGUAGCAAACAGGAUUAGAUACCCUGGUAGUCCACGCCGUAAACGAUGAGUGCUAAGUGUUGGAGGGUUUCCGCCCUUCAGUGCUGCAGCUAACGCAUUAAGCACUCCGCCUGGGGAGUACGGUCGCAAGACUGAAACUCAAAGGAAUUGACGGGGGCCCGCACAAGCGGUGGAGCAUGUGGUUUAAUUCGAAGCAACGCGAAGAACCUUACCAGGUCUUGACAUCUUCUGACAAUUCCAGAGAUGGAACGUUCCCUUCGGGGACAGAAGGACAGGUGGUGCAUGGUUGUCGUCAGCUCGUGUCGUGAGAUGUUGGGUUAAGUCCCGCAACGAGCGCAACCCUUAUUGUCAGUUGCCAUCAUUAAGUUGGGCACUCUGGCGAGACUGCCGGUGACAAACCGGAGGAAGGUGGGGAUGACGUCAAAUCAUCAUGCCCCUUAUGACCUGGGCUACACACGUGCUACAAUGGACGGUACAACGAGUCGCUAACUCGCGAGGGCAAGCUAAUCUCUUAAAGCCGUUCUCAGUUCGGAUUGCAGGCUGCAACUCGCCUGCAUGAAGUCGGAAUCGCUAGUAAUCGCGAAUCAGCAUGUCGCGGUGAAUACGUUCCCGGGCCUUGUACACACCGCCCGUCACACCAUGAGAGUUUGUAACACCCAAAGUCGGUGGGGUAACCUUUUGGAGCCAGCCGCCUAAGGUGGGACAGAUGAUUGGGGUGAAGUCGCAACAAGGUAGCCGUAGGAGAACCUGCGGCUG